AACGCUAGCUACAGGCUUAAACACAUGCAAGUCGAGGGGCAGCAUGGUCUUAGCUUGCUAAGUCCGAUGGCGACCGGCGCACGGGUGAGUAACACGUAUCCAACCUGCCGUCUACUCUUGGGACAGCCUUCUGAGAGGAAGAUUAAUACAAGAUGGCAUCAUGAGUCCGCANGUUCACAUGAUUAAAGGUAUUCCGGUAGACGANGGGGAUGCGUUCCAUUAGAUAGUAGGCGGGGUAACGGCCCACCUAGUCUUCGAUGGAUAGGGGUUCUGAGAGGAAGGUCCCUCACAUUGGAACUGAGACACGGUCCAAACUCCUACGGGAGGCAGCAGUGAGGAAUAUUGGUCAAUGGGCGAGAGCCUGAAUCAGCCAAGUAGCGUGAAGGAUGACUGCCCUAUGGGUUGUAAACUUCUUUUAUAAAGGAAUAAAGUCGGGUAUGGAUACCCGUUUGCAUGUACUUUAUGAAUAAGGAUCGGCUAACUCCGUGCCAGCAGCCGCGGUAAUACGGAGGAUCCGAGCGUUAUCCGGAUUUAUUGGGUUUAAAGGGAGCGUAGAUGGAUGUUUAAGUCAGUUGUGAAAGUUUGCGGCUCAACCGUAAAAUUGCAGUUGAUACUGGAUAUCUUGAGUGCAGUUGAGGCAGGCGGAAUUCGUGGUGUAGCGGUGAAAUGCUUAGAUAUCACGAAGAACUCCGAUUG
rnacentral:rRNA from 1 species